rnacentral:rRNA from 1 species
UACCAGCACCCCGAGUGGUCGGGACGAUUAUUGGGCCUAAAGCAUCCGUAGCCGGUCCUACAAGUCUUCCGUUAAAUCCACCUGCUUAACAGAUGGGCUGCGGAAGAUACUAUAGGGCUAGGAGGCGGGAGAGGCAAGCGGUACUCGAGUGGGUAGGGGUAAAAUCCUCUGAUCCAUUGAAGACCACCAGUGGCGAAGGCGGCUUGCCAGAACGCGCUCGACGGUGAGGGAUGAAAGCUGGGGGGAGCAAAC